GCCAUUUCUGGAGUCGUAUCAUGAGAUCCCACGAUACUCCCCACGUUAAUUCAACAAUCAACUCAUCUGGACUUUUUAAUUAGAACAAUGUAUCGUGUGUUCUUCCUUCCAAUAGGAAUAUGAGGUCUUUGCAAAUUGGGAAACCACUGGUAAAGUUAACCUCUGAUGAAGAGAUCUGCAAUUCACCUUUCCACAAUGUUUCUAAGGUCCCAGGCUGAGUGGAAUGCUGAGAGAUGACAGUCUUCUGCUAACUAUUCAAA